GGGUGAGUAAUACUUAGGAAUCUACCUAGUAGUGGGGGAUAGCUCGGGGAAACUCGAAUUAAUACCGCAUACGACCUACGGGAGAAAGGGGGCAGUUUACUGCUCUCGCUAUUAGAUGAGCCUAAGUCGGAUUAGCUAGAUGGUGGGGUAAAGGCCUACCAUGGCGACGAUCUGUAGCUGGUCUGAGAGGAUGAUCAGCCACACCGGGACUGAGACACGGCCCGGACUCCUACGGGAGGCAGCAGUGGGGAAUAUUGGACAAUGGGGGCAACCCUGAUCCAGCCAUGCCGCGUGUGUGAAGAAGGCCUUUUGGUUGUAAAGCACUUUAAGCAGUGAAGAAGACUCCAUGGUUAAUACCCAUGGACGAUGACAUUAGCUGCAGAAUAAGCACCGGCUAACUCUGUGCCAGCAGCCGCGGUAAUACAGAGGGUGCAAGCGUUAAUCGGAAUUACUGGGCGUAAAGCGAGCGUAGGUGGCUUGAUAAGUCAGAUGUGAAAUCCCCGGGCUUAACCUGGGAACUGCAUCUGAUACUGUUAGGCUAGAAUAGGUGAGAGGAAGGUAGAAUUCCAGGUGUAGCGGUGAAAUGCGUAGAGAUCUGGAGGAAUACCGAUGGCGAAGGCAGCCUUCUGGCAUCAUAUUGACACUGAGGUUCGAAAGCGUGGGUAGCAAACAGGAUUAGAUACCCCUGGUAGUCCACGCCGUAAACGAUGUCUACUAGUCGUUGGGUCCCUUGAGGACUUAGUGACGCAGCUAACGCAAUAAGUAGACCGCCUGGGGGAGUACGGGCCGCAAGGUUAAAACUCAAAUGAAUUUGACGGGGGCCCGCACAAGCGGUGGAAGCAUGGUGGUUUAAUUCGAUGCAACGCGAGACC
rnacentral:rRNA from 1 species